rnacentral:rRNA from 1 species
AACGAACGCUGGCGGCAGGCCUAACACAUGCAAGUCGAGCGGACCCUUCGGGGUUAGCGGCGGACGGGUGAGUAGCGCGUGGGAAUAUGCCCUUCUCUACGGAAUAGUCCUGGGAAACUGGGGGUAAUACCGUAUACGCCCUUUGGGGGAAAGAUUUAUCGGGGAAGGAUUAGCCCGCGUUGGAUUAGGUAGUUGGUGGGGUAAUGGCCUACCAAGCCGACGAUCCAUAGCUGGUUUGAGAGGAUGAUCAGCCACACUGGGACUGAGACACGGCCCAGACUCCUACGGGAAGCAGCAGUGGGGAAUCUUAGACAAUGGGGGCAACCCUGAUCUAGCCAUGCCGCGUGAGUGAUGAAGGCCUUAGGGUUGUAAAGCUCUUUCAGCUGGGAAGAUAAUGACGGUACCAGCAGAAGAAGCCCCGGCUAACUCCGUG